GCCUACGGGGGGCAGCAGUGAGGAAUAUUGGUCAAUGGGCGCAAGCCUGAACCAGCCAAGUCACGUGAGGGAUGACGGUCCUAUGGAUUGUAAACCUCUUUUGUCGGGGAGCAAGGCCCGCCACGUGUGGCGGGAAGGAGAGUACCCGAAGAAAAAGCAUCGGCUAACUCCGUGCCAGCAGCCGCGGUAAUACGGAGGAUGCGAGCGUUAUCCGGAUUUAUUGGGUUUAAAGGGUGCGUAGGCGGAAGGUUAAGUCAGCGGUCAAAUGUCGGUGCGCAACACCGGUCUGCCGUUGAAACUGGUCU
rnacentral:rRNA from 1 species